rnacentral:rRNA from 1 species
GACGGGACCCGCACAAGCGGUGGAUGAUGUGGUUUAAUUCGAUGCAACGCGAAAACCUUACCCACCUUUGACAUGGCAGGAAUCCUAAAGAGAUUUGGGAGUGCUCGAAAGAGAACCUGCACACAGGUGCUGCAUGGCUGUCGUCAGCUCGUGUCGUGAGAUGUUGGGUUAAGUCCCGCAACGAGCGCAACCCUUGCCAUUAGUUGCUACGAAAGGGCACUCUAAUGGGACUGCCGGUGACAAACCGGAGGAAGGUGGGGAUGACGUCAAGUCCUCAUGGCCCUUAUAGGUGGGGCUACACACGUCAUACAAUGGCUGGUACAAAGGGUUGCCAACCCGCGAGGGGGAGCCAAUCCCAUAAAGCCAGUCGUAGUCCGGAUCGCAGUCUGCAACUCGACUGCGUGAAGUCGGAAUCACUAGUAAUCGUGGAUCAGCAUGUCACGGUGAAUACGUUCCCGGGUCUU